rnacentral:lncRNA from 1 species
AAAAAAAUUACAAAUACCGAUCAUCCCUAGAACAAAUGACAAAAGACUUAGUGGUUGGUACCCGAAACCCAAGCUUGAAUUCUAGUUGAUUCACAUUUCAGCUAAGUUUAUUUCUAAAUGAAAUAAACGAAACGGAUAGCGUGCUAUCUAUUUCUUAAAAAUAUAUAUAUAUAUUACAAGUCACAUUGAAAGAAAAUAAAUGUAACUAAAUUACCAAACUUAUCUAGAUUAUAAACUAGUUUGAAUCAACAAUUCAAUCCUUUCAAAAUCUUAAUUUGACAAUCAAAUCGUUCAAUUUAUUUGAUUUGAGUUAGUCAACGAUAUUUUAGUUUUAAAAUUUGAGUGUGUCGUUUUUAUUUUCUAGUCUGAUUAGUAUACUUCAUGCAAUUUUCGUAACUAUAAAAUUAUUAAAUAAAAUAAUUAGUUUAAAUUUCGAAGCCAAAGAAUCGUUGGCCGACUAAAAUCAUGCAAAUUGAAAGAUUGGAUAAUAAAAAUUAAAAUUUUGAGAGAUUGAAUAACCGAUUCAAAAUAGUCUAUAAUUUAGAUAAAUUCUAUACGUUUUUU